GACGAACGCUGGCGGCGUGCUUAACACAUGCAAGUCGAACGGAAAGGCCCCUUUGGGGGUACUCGAGUGGCGAACGGGUGAGUAACACGUGAGUAACCUGCCCUUGACUUCGGGAUAACUUCAUGAAACUGGGGCUAAUACCGGAUAGGAAUCCUUUCUUCAUGGUUGGGGUUGGAAAGCUUCGGCGGGUUUGGAUGGACGCGCGGCUUAUCAGCUUGUUGGUGGGGUAGUGGCUUACCAAGGCUUUGACGGGUAGCCUGCCUGAGAGGGCGACCGGCCACAAUGGGACUGAGAUACGGCCCAGACUCCUACGGGAGGCAGCAGUGGGGAAGAUUGCCCAAUGGGCGGAAGGCUGAUGCAGGAACGCCGGGUGCGGGAUGACGGGCCUUGGGUUGUAAAACGCUUUCAGCAGGGGAGAAGCUUGUGGUGACGGUACCUGCAGAAGAAGCACCGGCUAACUACGUG
rnacentral:rRNA from 1 species